GUUUUUCAAUAAGAUAUUAAUGAUUUAAUCUAUUUAUACUUAUUUUAUCUAAUUCUAUGUAUAUAAAUAAAUAUACUAAUAGAUAUCAAUAUCUAUUACAUUAUCUUUCUUCUUAGUGAUAAAUUCUAGCAUGAACUAUGUCAUUACUUCAUAUAUUGAUGAAGUCAAAAAUUUGUCAAAUGGUGUUAGUAAUAAGCUUUAAUCUUUAUUCAAGAUUUUCAUCACAAUAGCAAUGUUAUCUAAGUUUAGAUAAACUAAGUUCGUCAUCUGAAAAUUCUAUAAAUGACAAUUCUUGAGAUGAAUAUGUUGGCUAUUGAUUCUCUAUAUUUGCAAAGAGAUUUUAUAAAUUAUUAUUAUUAUUAUUUUUAAUUUUUUAGUACUAUCUAAUUUUUAAUAGUUACUCCUUCAUUUUAAUAGAUAUUAUCAAUAAAAAGUAAAAAUAAGUUCUAAUGCAUUUGCUAUAUUUUCAUAUGGCUCUCAUGUAUAUUCACUUAUACUAUAUUUAUGCCAAUGUACAAGAUAUUCUGAUUUCUUCUAGAUUUGCCUUAAAUCCAAGACUCAUUCUACUUCAAACUCUUGAUUGUUACCUAUUUUAACAAGAUGCGGUGAUGACUUUUUUCUUUCCAAUAUGUUAAUUGUUUUAUAAGUCUCAAUAAUAGACACAUGAAGUAAAAGAUGGAUCUUUAUUUCUAAUGAUAAUUGCAAUCAAUUUCUAGGAUUUUAUUUUCGGUGCUCGUUUUUAAUUUUUUUUCUUCCAAAUGAAACUAUAAAUAUUUAAAUAAUGAGUUUAGAUUGCAUAGAAUUUGUGGAUCUUUUUCUAGCAAAUUUUUAAAUAAAAUAAAAUAAAAAAACACUCUUAGAUAGGAAUGUGACUAUAAACCUAAUUUAAGUAAUUUUGUCAUGGUAUCAAGAGUAAUAUAACCUUAAAAAAACUUGACGUGUUAUAAAAACCCUUGAAAUCUUGAUCUUCAAUUAUUAAACUUUGUUUUAGCAUAAUCAUCUUUGGCUUCUUCAUGUUUAUAGUAAAAAGACUUUUUAAGUUUACUUGUAAGGUUGAUUUAAAUACUUCUCUUAAUUUCAUAAUUUCUUGGUAUGAUUAUUAAAACUCAUUGAUGAAUUUUUCCAUAAGUAUAAAAAUAGUGCUUUAUUGUUGAUAUUACCAACACAUGAUAUUUUUAUCUAAAGAUUACAAAGAGACUUCUACAGAUUUGUAAUUGUUUCAAAUAUAUUUUUGUUUUUAUUAAAUAUAGCAUCUAUAUAUUUUUUUCUUCCAUAUUUGUAAUAGAAAUCAUUAAUAAAUCUAUGAUUUAAAUUAGAAAGAGAUAAUCUACAAUUAUUAGUAUUAAAAUAAAAUUCUUACAAAGAAAAGAAGUCCAAUCUCUUGAAGAAAAUAAUUAAUCAUAAAAAAUAAUUUUUUUAAAGGAAGAUAGUCUAUAAUCUUUAAGAAAAUAUAAUAUAUCUUAAGAAGUGGAGUAAUUUACUCAUUUUAUAUAAAAAUAAGUGUAAAAAGUUAGUGUUCUUAUCAAAUUUUAAAAAAUAUGAAUCACAAUAAAACUCUAAACAAAUAAUACACUCUUAUGUUACUCAAAGGAAAAAAAAAGUAGAUGAAUAAAAAAAUAGAUACAAUAUAGAAAUUAGAAUAGCUAGUUUGAAAUAUAGAUAAAUUAAAGCUUCUUGAAGUAAGACUAGAAUAUAAGAAAGGUGUUGUUAAGAAUGAGCAAGGCCUCUCUUUUGCAUUCAUAUAUUCUAUCUACUAAAAAACUACAUAGUAAUGUUUUAUAGGCUAUAUGACAUGUGUCCAACUUGUUGGACACGUGACUAAUUUAUAAGAUAGGUUUCCAACAUGUAUGCCAUGUAACCAACUAAUAAUACAAAUGGCUAAAAUAUGCAACAUGUUGCCAACUCAUUGGCCUAGUUUUUAACCUACCAAUCACUUAUAAAUAUAUGUGAAGUCAAUAAAGCUUCCAAGAAGCUUCUCAAGAAGAUAUUAAUAAUUUAAUCUACUUGUAAUUUUUUUUAAUUAUUUUUUAUCCAAAUAAAUAUAGUAGUGAAUAUGGAUGUUUAUUACAUCAUCAUGUUUUAAACUUCUUUUUAUAAUGAAAUAGUUGAAUAUGAAAAAAUAUUCUUAUUUAAUUUUAUAUGGACUAUAAUCAAGGUUUUUAAGUUAAAUAAAUAUUUUUAAAUGAAGAAUUCUUUUUUCUGUUUUUUUUAGUAAAAUAAAAAUAAUGAUAAUAAUCUUUCAUUAUUUUUUGUUUUGUGAUAUUACACCAUUAAGAAAAAAAAUUGAUAUAAAGUCAAAAAAUUUACACCUAUAUAUCAUUGAAUGUCUUGAAUUUCUAGAAUUAUUUUUUUUCAUUGUUUUAAGUCUAUGAAGAUCUUUAAUUAGAAAAAUAUUAUUUUAUUUCAGUUAAUUUUUAAAAUGUAGAUAAUAUUUUUUUCUUACUCAUUAAAAAAUAAAAUUUAUGUAAAGAACUUACCUCUCUAUAAUGCCAUGUUAAAAGACCAAGAAUUGAAACUUUUAUUUGUUGCUCCUACAAUGUUCAGCAAUAACUAAUUAUAACAUCUUAUAUCAUGAGUAAUUUCUUCUUCUAUCCCAAUUUAAAAGACCAAUGAUUUUUAAAAUAAUUCAUGAAUCCAGUAAGUCUUCUUCUCGAAUUACUUCUUUGAUUUUAUUGUUCCUUACUGUGGAUAUAUGAGUUUUUUCUUUAGUGGAUAUUUUGCUAGUUACAAAUUUUUCUUUUUUCUUUUUCUUUAGAGAAUCUUUUAAAUUUUUAUUUAUUUAUUUCUCUAAAAAUCUUAUAAAAUUCUUAUGAUAUUCGUGAAUCUUGAUGCAAUCUGUAAAAUCCUUAAUAAAGAGGAUACAUUAAAUUGGCAUUUUACUAUAGAAAAGAAAUAAAAUUUUUAGAUAGAAAAUAUCACUUAGAAUUUUUUUAUUUCUCUUCUAAUUACUCUAUGGUAUA
rnacentral:lncRNA from 1 species